CCACAGCUGAUUUUUGAAGGGCCCAUGAAGAUUCAGAAAAGAUACUUACCUGUUGACUUGAAGACCAAUCGAUCUCCGCUCAAUGGUUUAGUGGCUCUGUAAGUGGGAGAGGGACCCUCAGCCAUGUGCCAUUAUCACUAGUCUUUGAAGCUUUCGGCUAUAGUUAAGAUGCUCAGUGGCCUCCUCCUGCAUUAAGGGUUUGUCCUGCAAUAAAAGUUUUGAUCAUAACAAGACUUAAAGUACAGUUUCUGAAUCGACUGCUCAACUUUUCCCCUGAA